CUCUAUCUGCUCAACAUCUCUUUCUAACUCUCUCUCUCUCUGUCCCUAUCUUUCUUUCUUUUUUUCGUUAAACAAGAUAUAGCCUCGGAUUUCUUAAUGAUCGGGAGUCCAAACAAUAUCCGAUCGUCCCGAAAUUUUAACCGAAGUGUCAGCGUUGGUUUUGUACACGAUCGGAGGUUCAAACAUUGUCCGAUCGUUCUGAAAUUUUAAAGGAAGAGGUAGAAUUAAGGGGAGUGUUUGUUGGCGGAGCUCCCACGAUAAGCAUGCACAAACCAAACCAGCCCGGUGGUUCCGAACCGCCGGUUCAUGGACCGGAACCGGCACCGGCGGUUUCGCGGUUCAAGCGGGUCGGUUCAGGUUCGUGAAAAUCAUGAACCGUGAACCGGCGGUUCAAAGGUCCCAACGGGCAGAUUCCGGCUAGGGGCGUAGGGUUGCAGGCGAGGGUUGCAGAAAAGCCGUCGGUUUGAACUGUCGGUUUCUGACGGUUCCAGUGCUUUUUCAGGUGGCAGAGCGUAGGGUGCAGCGUAUAGGCCUGAAAACCGGUCCGAAACCGGUGGUUUCCGUCAGAAACCGUGGACUGAACCACCGGUUUUGGUCCGAACCGCCGGUUCAGGCGGUAAACCGACCGAAUUUGAAAUUUCAAUUUUUUUUAUUUCUUACUAUUUUAC